rnacentral:rRNA from 1 species
UACGGAGGGUGCGAGCGUUGUCCGGAAUCACUGGGCGUAAAGGGCGCGUAGGCGGCCUGAUAAGUAGGGGGUGAAAUCCUGCGGCUUAACCGCAGGGCUGCCUUCUAAACUGUCAGGCUAGAGCACAGUAGAGGCAGGUGGAAUUCCCGGUGUAGCGGUGGAAUGCGUAGAGAUCGGGAAGAACAUCAGUGGCGAAGGCGGGUCUCUGGGCAGUAACUGACGCUGAGGAGCGAAAGCGUGGGGAGCGAACAGGG